UAUUUUAACCUACAAAAGUCUCUUGGUCGUCUCCGUGGAUGUGGUUCUUGUAGCUACGCAUAUUUUUUUAUCGCGGGGACUGCGUACGCGUUGUCCCCGUUUUUCUUUCUACUUCAUAUUACUGGGAAAUGACGUAUGAACAUUGCUGAAUGCAGUCCGGAGCUAUAUAACGAAUAAAAGAAAAAAAAUAUUUUAACCUAUCAUGUGUCACUUGUUAGUAGAAAGUAACCAUAAUUUGAAAUUACAAUUUUUUUCGAAGAAAAAAAUUCAAUAAAAGUAAGAAGAAAAGAAAAUUUAAAAAGUAAACAGGUGAGAGAAAAAGCAAAGGAAAACGGGACGAGCGGAUAAAGUGUGAAAACGAAAAGAGGACAAGGGGAUAAAUAUUAUAUAGUCGCAAAUAUCCUUGGAGAAGGCUAAUAUAGCACAGUGGCAAUAACUAACAAAUUACGAAAGAGAACUUGUCAAUAUAUGUAUCAGUCUAAAUUAUAUAGACCAAAAUGACUCGAUUCUAUAUUUUUCAAAGGUUAUCGACAUACAUGGCUUAUCUUUUGAUCUUUUUAUCUGUGACAUAGAAGUACGUUAAUAUUUAUUAUCUAUGCACCUUUUACUUUCAAACGUUCAUCAUGUCGAAGUCUAAGAGUGAGGAUAGUACAGAUAAUAAUUUUAAGAGACAAGGCUCUUUCAGAAAACUAGUACCUCUAAGUAAUAAUGGAGAUUCGCCACUGAAUAUGUCUGUAAAAAUGAUAGACAGGCCAAUUGUUCCACAAACCAGUAAACAACAUGCUAUUUUCCUGCAAGAAUACAAUAUUCUUUCAGAAUACAAAAUGUUGUGUUCCCAAGACUUAAAGGGAAUUUAUGUAAUACCAUCUGCUUUAAAUUCUUCUUUUUGGUUUGGUGUACACUUCAUUCGACAAGGGAUUUACAAGGGUGGAGUAUUUAGAUUCAAUAUUACACUGCCUUCAAAUUUUCCGCUUGGAGAUUGUCCUAAAGUUAUAUUUGAAACUCAAGUCUUCCAUCCAUUAAUAAAUCCUGAAAAUGGAGAAUUGUGUACAUCGUGGGAAUUUCCUGAAUGGAAAAGAAACAAUAGGAUAUGGCAAUUAUUACAAUAUAUUACAAAAAUAUUUGUUAAUUUAGACACGAAGAUGAUCCCAGUGAAUCAGGAAGCAUCUGCCUUACAAGAACAAAAUUUUGAGACUUUCCGAGAACGUGUAAAAAUGUGCGUAAGAGAGAGCGUGAAUCAAGUAUUUAAUCCACCUAACAUGGACGAUCCACAUUAUAUUACAUUCAGUCCAUAUGAAAAUGAAGUACAUGACCCUAUUAAGCAAGAGAUUUAUGAGCCAAAGAAUGAGAAAAGGUGAGAGGGAGAAACUGAGGAGAGACCGUAGCGUCCGAUGGAGGGAUUGAUCGGCGUCGUUAGAACAGGGCAGCGCACAGUGGGCCAGGAGACCGGUGACACUGGCCAAAAUUCAUAUCUUGUUAAACACAUUUUGGGUCCAGUUGUGCAAUUUAGGUGUCCACAGCGAAGGGGUUAAGAUAUCUGGAGACGUGACAUCGCAUCGCGAUGAAUGAAUUCAAAAUCGGCAACUUUGAAACUAUUCUUAUCAGUUUGGAAACAAAUUUGACAAAAUCUCGAAUUCUCGAUAGUUCUUAGGAUCUUCUAGCUUACUAUGUAUUCAAUUCAAAAAAUUGCAUUUUGGCCAACCACAGUGGACUUCUGGCCCAUUGUACAGCGGCGUCAUCAAUGGAUUUCGCGCGACGUUCGGCGUCGUUUGACCGCAGCGCCUAAAGGAAUCUGAGUGUUCGGUAGUACCAAAAAAAAGAGGAUGUACGACGAAGAGCGAGCAGCGGACGAGUCAGUUCGCAGCGAGCAGCAAGAGCGUUAAGAGCGAUUUUAUAUAAAAAUCGUUAAUUUAGUGACUUGAGAAAUGACCAAUUACUUUUAUUUAUAAUAUUAAGCAUUUCUAAAUAUUUUAGUCGCCAUAUUCGAUCCGCCAUUUUGAAUUUCUAUAUUUUGACUUCAAAUUCAGCUUCAGCGACCAAAAAAACUGAAGUAUACAAAUUAUUGAAAAAAUCCGCCCCGUCAUUUUCUUGGGACGGUUUCAAUGCAUUUUACUGAAUUUUGCUCUGCCACGGAAGGGGUUAAAAAAAGUAAUGAAAUAAAAAAGUUGCACUAACUGAUAAUGCGAAAAUAUGUUAUACAAGACAUGAAAAAUGUAGCAAAGAAAGCAAAUAAAAUU